rnacentral:rRNA from 1 species
UACGUAGGGGGCAAGCGUUGUCCGGAUUUAUUGGGCGUAAAGAGCGUGUAGGCGGCCUGAAAGGUCAGCUGUGAAAACUCGAGGCUCAACCUCGAGACGUCGGUUGAAACCAUCUGGCUAGAGUCCGGAAGAGGAGAGUGGAAUUCCCGGUGUAGCGGUGAAAUGCGCAGAUAUCGGGAAGAACACCCGUGGCGAAGGCGGCUCUCUGGGACGGUACUGACGCUGAGACGCGAAAGCGUGGGGAGCGAACCGG